rnacentral:SRP_RNA from 1 species
GGUGGGUGUGGUGGUGCGUGCCUAUAGUCCCAGCUACUUGGGAGGCUGAGGUGGGAGGAUCGCUUGAGCCCAGGAGUUCUGGGCUGUAGUGCAGUAUGCCGAUCGGGUGUCCGCAGUAAGUUUAGCAUCAAUAUGGUGACCUCCCAGGAGCAGGAGACCACCAUAUUGCCUAAGGAAUGGUGAACCGGCCCAGGUCGGAAACGGAGCAGGUCAAAACUCUGUGCUGAUCAGUAGUGGGAUCGUGCCUGUGAAUAGCCACUGCACUCCAGCCUGGGCAACAUAGCGAGACCCCGUCACU